CUUUGCUGAAGCAAUUAACUUUCCUGUGUUCUUUUCUUUCUUCAGUAUUCUAGUGCUUUCUUAAAGGUUUUCCAACAAAUAUAUCAAUGAAAAAGAUCAUCCCAGAAAGAGAAAAUCAGGCUUUCUGCCUUGGAAAUUGCUGUAGUCUUCUGGCAGUUCUUUUGAUUCUGUCUUCUCUAACAUAUAAUGCAGUUGGAAACUAAUAUGCAUGAACUUGGAAAUGCCAUUCAUCAAGUAGAAUGCAACUUCCUAUGUCAACUCAUUAUAUAAUCUACAUGAAGAUGUGAUUAAUGCAAUUCUAAAACAAAGAGUAUAACAAGGUAGAGAUCAUGGGGUGAACAAGAAAAAACCUACAAAUGUGAACCCAGGAUUCAAGGUAAGUGAAAUGUUACAGCAAAUGCAAGUAAAUUAGACAAGAAAUUAACAAGAGAGUCAGAAGUUUUGUGGUAAAGGACAGAGAGUGAAUAAGCUGUAUUCAAUUACCUAAUGACAGAGAAACAGGAGCCAAAAUUCUGAAUACUCUAAGACAAAAAAAUUAAGAAUCAGAAGAUAUCUAUAUUUAUAGUCUGGAAAAAGUUCUAAGUGUUCAGAAAAUUGUGAGAAACUGUGGUCAGAGGAAAAUUUAGUGAUCAAGGAUUCUAUAAG
rnacentral:lncRNA from 10 species